ensembl:lncRNA
GUCCAUUCCCAUCCCUAACCAUAACAAGAAAUUUUACUCUAGCAAUUUCAAGAAGCUUCAGGGAUCUCUUAGCACUUUACUCGCUAGGUAUUGUUGUUAUUUAGUCACUUAGUCCUAAAUAAGGACUCUUUGUGACUCCAUGGGCUGUAGACCACCAGGUUCCUGGCCAUGGGAUUUCCCAGGCAAGAAUACCGGCGUAGGUUGCCACUUCCUUCUCCAAGGGAUCUUCUCAAUCAAGGGAUUGAACCUGCAUCUCUUACACUGGCAGGAUGAUUCUUUACCACUGAGCCACCUGCAAAGUUCAGACCUCUUGAUAGCAGUAUGCCUGCCAACUGCUGCGACAUAGUGCUCCAACUUGGCCGCUUCUAAGUAAAAGCUUCACCUAGACCCACCUUUUUGUUUCACACCAGGUGAAAACUAAAAGGGAAAACAGAAAAUAAAUUUCAGUGGCAUUUAACAAGCACAAGUGCUCACUCCGUCCUGCUGACUCUUUGGGAUCCCAUGGGCUGCAGCCAGCCAGACUCCUGGGUCCAUGAAAUUUUCCAGGCAAGAACACUAGAGUGGGUUGCCACUUCCUACUCCAUGCACAUGCCUAGGGCUAAAAGUAUUCCUAAAUAUCUUUAAUUUCCUUUUACAAAAAAUAGACCUAUGCUUUACUUUCACCCUUAAAGAAACGUAAGUCACGGAUGUUAAGACCCAAGUGCGCUCUUUCAAGAGUCAACAGCAGCUCUGGAGACGCUGUGGAUCACAAACUGGGGGAGCGGGCAACAGAGGAAAUGUUCACACACGCACGAAAAAGCGUCUCCCGCACGCUCCUGUUGUCUUCUCCUAAUCUGUGUACAAAUUCGUGCGGCAAGGCUUUCGACAAUGAGUACAAAUACUCCUAAGAGAUCAGACUCCCGAAAAAAAAAAACAAAAUAACUGAGUGUAGGUAGACCAUUGACACCCGCGCUUCAGAAACAGCAAUUUCAGUGGAAUAACGGAAGCUACGGGCUUCCCUUGUAGCUCAGUUGGCAAAGAAUCUGCCUGCAGUACAGGAGACCCGGGCUCGAUCCCUGGGUUGGGAAGAUCCCCUGGAGAAGGAAAUGGCUAACCGACUCCAGUAUCCUUGCCUGGAAAAUCUCAUGGACACAGGAGCCUGGCGGGCUGCAGUCCAUGGGGUCGCAGAGUCGGGAACGACUGAGCAACUAACUUACGGGAGAUACGAAGUUUUUUAAGCAGAGAAAAAAAUAUAGUUCCACAGAAAUCAACCUACCAAAAGGUUAUGAAGAAGAGAACUAUCGAACCUGGCGUUUUGGUAACAACAGCGACUUCUAAAGUAACUGUCCUAA